GUACCGUGAGGGAAAUGUGAAAAGCACUUCGAACAGAAGAGUGAAAUAGUCCCUGAACCCAUACGCCUACAAGCUGUCGGAGCCGCUUCGUGCGGUGACGGCGUGCCUUUUGCAUAAUGAGCCUACGAGUUACUCAUCACCAGCGAGGUUAAGUACUUCAGGUACGUAAGCCGAAGCGAAAGCGAGUCUGAAUAGGGCGUCAAGUUGGUGGUGGUAGACGCGAAACCUUAGUGAUCUACCCAUGGGCAGGGUGAAGGUUUGGUAACACAAACUGGAGGCCCGAACCGGUAAACGUUGAAAAGUUUUCGGAUGACCUGUGGGUAGGGGUGAAAGGCCAAUCAAACUGGGAAAUAGCUCGUACUCUCCGAAAUGCAUUUAGGUGCAGCCUCUGUUGUUUUGUUCUAGAGGUAGAGCUACUGAUUGGAUGCGAGGGCUUCACCGCCUAUCAAAUCCGGCCAAACUCCGAAUGCUAGAACAUGAAGACAGGGAGUGAGCCAGCGGGUGCUAAGGUCCGUUGACGAAAGAGGGAGAACUCAGACCAUCAGCUAAGGUCCCCAAUUAUAUGCUAAGUUGGAAUAAAAACGGGGUGGGACUGCUUAGACAGCUAGGAUGUUGGCUUGGAAGCAGCCAUUCAUUUAAAGAGUGCGUAACAGCUCACUAGUCGAGCGGUCCUGCAUGGAUAAUACGCGGGCAUAAGCAUAUAACCGAAGCUAUGGGAUUGUAGAUGAUACAAUCGGUAGGAGAGCAUUCCAUUCAGCAUAGAAGCAGUACCGUGAGGUAUUGUGGAGCGGAUGGAAAAGCAAAUGUAGGCAUAAGUAACGAUAAUGCGGGUGAGAACCCCGCACGCCGAAAGAUCAAGGAUUCCCCGGCAAUGUCAAUCAUCCGGGGGUAAGUCGGAUCCUAAGGGUAAGCCGAGUGGCGAUCCCGAUGGCAAACAGGUUAAUAUUCCUGUACUGAUCAUAACUGCGAUGCAGCGACGCAGAGGUGACACUGCUGCGUACUGACGGAAUAGUACGUUGAAACCCGUAUUCUUUGAUACCGGUAGUGAAGCACGCCGGUAGAGAUGAAAGGUGAUAGUACCGCAAUGCUUCGGUUGCGCGGAUAACGCAGGUAAGCUGACUGCCAAGAAAACCUGCUAAGCUUCAGGUAAUGAUCAUCCGUACUGUAAACGGACACACGUGAUCAGGUAGAAAAUACUAAGGCGCUCGAGAGAUUCAUGGUUAAGGAACUAGGCAAAAUGGUCCUGUAACUUCGGGAUAAAGGACGCUCUUGUGAAAGAGCCGCAGAUAAUAGGCCCAGGCGACUGUUUACCAAAAACACAUGGCUAUGCUAAUUCGCAAGAAGAUGUAUAUGGCCUGACACCUGCCCGGUGCCGGAAGGUUAAGAGGAGAGCUCAGAGGCAACUCGAAGGUUUGAAUUGAAGCCCCGGUAAACGGCGGCCGUAACUAUAACGGUCCUAAGGUAGCGAAAUUCCUUGUCGGGU
rnacentral:rRNA from 1 species